rnacentral:lncRNA from 1 species
UCUUGAACUCCUGGGCUCAAGCAAUCCUCCUGCCUCAGCCUCCCAAAGUGUUGGGAUUACAGGCAUGUGCCACCACACUUGGCCAAAAACUCAGUUUAGAACAAAGAUCGGCACACUUUUUUUUUUGAGACGGAGUCUCACUCUGUCGCCCAGGCUGGAAUGCAGUGGCGCAAUCUCAGCUCACUGCAACCUCCGCCUCCCAGGUUCAAGCAGUUCUUCUGUCUCAGCCUCCUGAGUAACUGGGACUACAGGCAUGUGCCACCACGCACGGCCAAUUUUUGUAUUUUUUGGUAGAGAUGGGGUCUUGCCAUGUUGUCCAGGCUGGUCUCAAACUCUUGACCUCAGGUGAUCUGCCUGCCUCAGUCUCCUUAAGUUCUGGGAUUACAGGCAUGAGCCCCUCCGCCCACCUUUUUUUUUUUUUUUUUUUUUUGAGACAGGGUCUCACUCUAUUGCCCAGGCUGAAGUGCAGUGGUGCAGUCAUAACUUUCUGCACCCUCAAACUGUGCUCAAGUGAUCCACCUCAGGCUCCCAAGUAGCUAGGACCACAAAUAUGUGCCACUGUGAGGCUAAAUUUAUUUUUAAAGUUUUGUUUUAGUAGAGAUGAGGUCUUGCUAUGUUGCCCAGGCUGGUCUCGAACUCCUGCUCAAGUGAUCCGCCCACCUCAGCCUCCCAAAGUGCCAGGCCCAGCCCACAAAUCCUCCUUCAGACUCUUCCUUGGGGUCUGAAUCCCCACCCUUCUUGCAUCUUACCAGGGCCCUCUGGCCCUGGGCCCCACUCUCCCCAGCACAGUCAUCUGGUCAUCUCCGUGGACACUAAGGCUGCAGCUGCCUGGGCCCUCUCACCAUGGCUGUGAUCUCAUCGUAGGACUGCAGUGAUCAUGAUCACCCGGAUCCCGGCGUCACGGCACAGCUGGAUGGAGCCCGUGACCUCCUUGCGCGGAGGGUCCAGCAUGCCCACUACACCCACGAAUGUCAGAGACAGGGCCUUGCUUGUCAUGCAGGCUGGAGUGCAGUGGUGGGAUCAUGGCUCACUGCAGCCUCCAACUCCUAGGUUCAAGUGAUCCUCCCACCUCAGGCUCCCCAGUAGCUGGGUCUACAGGUGUGUGUCACCAUGUCCAGUUCAUCUCUUUUCUUUUAACAUUUUUAAAAAUGUAUUUUACUUUUUACCCAGACCCCUAUGAAUUUAACCAGG